GUUUCAGCAAGUGGCUGUGACUGAAUCUAUUUCCAUGUAUAAAUACAGAUUACACAACAUAAAACGGAAUUUGUAGGAACUUUCCAACGAACAACAACAAAUACAUUUGACAAAUAAUUCAUCAUUUUGUGGAUGGUUUAUGAGACAGUUUAUAUUUUACGCAAAUACCAUGAACCUUUACUUCACAAGAUCUUCAUUUAGGUUGACAAACAACAAACAACACAACAAGUAAGCAGGCGUGUGUUUGUAAAUCGUAAUUUGUAGAAUAUUUUAUUGUGUGUUUUCGCUGGGAUAGGAAUUGACGCUUCUCAACAAACCGGAAGUUGUCUAGAUGCCAAAACGGAAGUUAUCCAUCGCUCUCGUCGUCGCUUUCGCAUCAGUCAUUCGUCUUGGUGCACCGCCUUUUGGAGGACUGUGAGCCUGCUGCACUGCGGCCAAAGGUCAGACACUCGGAGAUGCUAAAAGCAUCUACCUGAUGACCAACACAGACCAAACAGUGCAAGGACAGUUCUGAAGUGUCCUUGGGCAAAGGCAAACAGACUGAAGCACAACAUGUCAGGGUUAAGAGACCACAUGUCAGUGCCCGUGGCAGUGGGUGUCCUGUUGGUGGGUGUCCCCUACUCUGUCUCUAUAGCUGUUCAGUGGUUUUAUGGCUGGCCCAUUAAGCCUGGAUAUAAGAAGUACAUAGAAGCUCUAAAACCAAGAAGGAUAUACACUCUGACCAGAGCUGUGCUUGAAACUCUCAAAUAUCUGCAGUAUGGGAGACUUUACAUUCAGUGGAAGUCAUGGUACAACAAUAAUAAAAAUCAUAAACACUUUAAAAAGGGCAUCACAUUUGGCCGCAGAAGCAACAAACUGGACUUGUACUACCCUCCACAUGAGCGCAUGGCUGGAGAUAUUCUUACCCCACUGGUAGUUUUCGUGUAUGGGGGUGCGUGGGGCUCUGGAGAAAGAACUAUUUACUGUUUGCUGGCCAAGCAGAUGGCUGAUGAGCUGAAUGCAACUGUCAUAUGCCCAGAUUACUGCAUCUAUCCAAAGGGGAAUGUGUUAGGAAUGGUGCAAGAUAUUGCUGACUGCUUGGUUUGGGCUCAAGAGAAUGGAGAGAAGUUCAACUUUGACAAAGACAGCAUCGUGUUAAUUGGCCAUUCGGCAGGUGCACAUCUGUGUGCACUGACUACACUGUUUCUCACUGAUACAAGAGAUGAGCUUUUCAUAGAACUCAGCCAGCAACAAGAUAUCACACGCGCAGUACGAGGAGUUAUUGGUCUAAGUGGUGUGUAUGAUAUCAUGGAGCAUUAUAAACACGAGCAGAAACGAGCAGUCGAAUACAUCUCCAGCAUGCACAAAGCCAUGAACGGAGUGGAAAACUUUGCAUACUACUCACCAACACAUGUAGUAAAGAAUCUCAACCAGGACAAACUGGACAGAGUGCCACCGUUCAUUUUGCUCCAUGGGACCAAUGACAUUAUCGUUCCUGUUGAAUCUUCCACAAAAUUCUCUGUGAUUCUCAGCUCGCUGUCUGUGAAGGUGUCGCUCCUUCUGCUCCCCAAAGUCAACCACACUGAGAUGGUUACUGACAUUAUGGCACCGAACAGGUUUUUCUACCAACUUAUUUACGGCUGUAUCAAGCAAGAGUUCAGAAAACUUCUGGGAACCUGAUGAACGUAGUAUGUCAGUGUAGCAGCAGAUUGUGCCAAACACCUUCAUUCCAUUUUAAAGAUUUAAGUCUUAGACAGUUCUGUGACUGUAACAGUAAUAAAACUGCAUCUAAUAAUAUAUUUGAGAUAAUU
rnacentral:lncRNA from 1 species